UACGAAGGGGGCUAGCGUUGCUCGGAAUUACUGGGCGUAAAGGGCGCGUAGGCGGGUUUUUAAGUCAGGGGUGAAAUCCUGGAGCUCAACUCCAGAACUGCCUUUGAUACUGAAGAUCUUGAGUUCGGGAGAGGUGAGUGGAACUGCGAGUGUAGAGGUGAAAUUCGUAGAUAUUCGCAAGAACACCAGUGGCGAAGGCGGCUCACUGGCCCGAUACUGACGCUGAGGCACGAAAGCGUGGGGAGCAAACAGG
rnacentral:rRNA from 1 species